GGUAUAGUAUUUUACAUAGAAAAUUUAACUUGCAAUUAAAAAGAAAUAGACAAUCUAUUUUAUACCA
rnacentral:tRNA from 1 species